UUUAAGCAAUUUCUGUGAGUCUGAUUGUAAUUUCUGUGUUCCUCUUAGGUGGGGGAGAAAAAAUAAGAGUGGAUAAAAGAAAGAAAGAAAACAGAGAAAGGUGGGAAAAAAAAAACAAAGGAAGGAAGAGAGAAAAGAGAAUGAGAGGAAGAGAAGGAAGGGGAAAAACAAGAUUGACUUUACAGUAUGAGAUAUACUAUUAUAUAUUGGACCCUUGGUGGGCAGUGCCUAAACAGAGACAACUACAGGUUUCUGGCUGUGGCCACUCUCUGGUGAAACUAAGGGGUUUCUGUGUGGAGGUGCCUAACAGCCACCGUCCAGUUUGGGUAAAGAAAGCUUUUUAUGGUUCACUAAGGACAAUCAACCCCUUCGCAAUCUAGAACCAAAAGACUGGAUCUUCUGAGAACAUCUACUAGACCAUCAAGCUUCAGAUGCUCAUGUGACAAGGGUUCCAGCCAGUUCCAGGUGAAGACACCACUCCUAGCCAUCAAGGAACUACCCUGUCUCCACUAGACAGAGAAGGUAGUAUGAUGCCUCUGGCUUCCCUCUAUCACACGUCUUCUUUUCGAGUAAAGGUUUUUCAUAAAUGUGAGCGUGGAAGAAGAAACCAGUUAAAUAUGGAACUUCACACCAGGACACAAAAGAUGGUGUCAGAAGCGGAUCCGAAGUGGAACUUUUAGUGACCCUCAGGAGCACUGAAUGAACAUGCAAGGAACCUGCAGGACCCACUUGUGUCCAUUGAUCUCUGGGAGCAGCUGGGAUAAGCUCCUUUUCGGAUUUCAGAGCUCCAUGGACUUGUGUCUUGAGAUCCCUGAGUUUCUUUGAGCAAAUUUCUGAUCCAAAAUGGGUUUGGCAUCAUGGCAGAAACAGGACUGGGUCCACGAAUGGAUUUGAUCCAGGAAUGAACUGGCUUGGAUCCAGUCAGAGGUCUCUUACAUCUGACUGGGUCAGAAAGGAACUGGUAGUAAGCAGUAAUAUUGCAGAGGUUAUAACAUUUGGCUUUUAAAAAAUAACAGGAAUUUUUGUGUUCUACCUCCUAUGUUAAAUUUUUCUUGUAUACUUAGGUAGAAAAAAGUCAUUGGCUAAGUUAAUCAAGAGAACCUGAGAGUAAAGCCAAUAUUUUAGGUAAAAAUGAGAUCCUUAAUUUCUGGGAAACUGAGUUCAUUCUGGUUUAUACUUUAAGCCUGGGAGGCAGCGAAGUCUUGCGGCAAAAUCUUACAAAAGAUAACUUACAGGGGAACGCUGCAAAUGAACAACAAUGCAUUGAAGUAAAUUUAAAAAUGAUGGUUCUCGGUAAAUUCCCAUUGGCUAAGAAUGGAUUUGGCACUUCGGGAUGUCAACUGCUAUUCUCUUUGGAAUAAUCUGUCUUGCACUCUUUGAUGACGACUAUGGGUGACAGGAUUAGGGAUUUACAGGAUCCUGGGACAUGGGGAGCUUAUUCCUCCCUAAAAGGGGAAACUUGAGAGAUGAGGAGACUGCUGGAAAAGAGCCCUUUGCUACCAAGAAGCAACCACCUGAACUUCUCAGUGUUGCUUCAAUGUGUGGGUCUUUCUCUGGCCUCCCUGAUCAUUUCGCCUUCCCCAACCUCCCACAGACUAUGCUUUCCUCUCUCUCCUUUCCCUUUCUUAUCUUUUCUCUUACUCAGAGGGACCAUCUUGCCCAGAGACCACGUGUUGAAACUCCUACUCAGAGGUUGGAUUAAAGAUGACAGGACCCAUCUGAGGGCAAAUUUAAGCCUUGCCAAUUUGAUAUUGGGUGCUAAGCAGAGUAGCUAAUAUCUAUGUUUUAUCACACGUAUUUUGCUCUGGCCAGACUGAAAAAAGAUAAUUUUUCUUUAUGAUGCAUCUUGGUCCCAGCAGGAUGGUGUGGCAAGCUGAGUCACUAAGGCUGCUCAGGGAAAGGGAACCCAGAAUCUUGGCAUGCCGGCAAAAGGCCCAUGGUUCACUGAGGACAACUCCUUUGCAAUCUAGAACCCAAAGAUUGGAUCUUCUGAGAACAUCAGAGAAAGACUGUCCUUGCCAUCCACACUACAGCAAAGCUUUGGAGCCUUGAACCUUGGGUUCAUGAUCUUACAACUGAGAAGGGCCCCUCCACACUCCUGAACUGUACAACCAUUGAAACUCUUAAGGUAAAAUUAACUAGGAAAGUUUAUCUCCUUAAGAAGAUGGCAUCCUUGAUGUGAACAGCUUUUCCCAAGAUCCUGGAUCAAAACGUCUACUAUCACGAGACUCUUAUAUUUGAAUAUAUUUUCCGGUUUAUGCCUUUAGGAACAAUUGAAAUGAAAGGGGGAUCUAUUAUGUGCACUUAUAGGGUAUACUUUUAUUUGUGAAGGAUUUUGCAUCCAGCCUUAUAUGAAUAACCUUGUACUUUAAUAGAUAAAAGAUGAAGGCUCAAUGUAGGUGAGAAAAUGUAGUGGUACAUAUGUUGCCUCAUAAUCAGUCAAAACUCUUCUUAACCCACAUAAUGGAUUAAAGAGAAUAUUGCCAGGAGGCCUUCGCUUUUCUAAAAUGACAUCAUUUGUUAGGUCCUUUUUCCAUAGUUUAGUAUAAAAGAGGCAAUAAUUAGAAAUGUCACCCUCAUAAUAGGCUCUACAGCAAAUUCUACUUUAAAGGCUAUUGUUACACAACAGACUUUAAAUUAUCUUGUAAAAGUUAUGCUAAAUAAUAGAAUUGGCCAAACAGAAAAGUACCUGUGCAGUUGCUGACACCUGUGGCCUAUGGAGAAAUACAUCAAAUGUAGAUUAUACAAUUUCAGUUGUAGGGGAUUAAUGAAAAGACCACCUAGUCAAGCAAGUAGGCUCUUCAUAUAGCUCAUUCUUUAAUCUAUUUAAUUUUACAUGGUUUGGUUUAUGGGGACCCUGGGUAAGGAGCACACUCCAAAUUUGUUAUUAUUCUCCCAGUACUCAUAAUGAUAGUCUCCCUGAUGUGCUAUAUUCUCUUAAAGGUUUUAAAUGUUUGCAUGCAGCCAUCUCUAGAACAUCAAAUGGUCUCUAUUCAACCAGAAUGACAAAAGCUGAAAGAAAUGUGUGACCCUGAGGAUAUCGUAACCUACGAAUGAUGUGCUGAGACUGGAAACCCUAAAUGAUGUUACUGAGAAUGGCACUAAGGCCUUAAGUUUUGGUCACACUGUCACCUAAGUGAGAACCUGGCUGAAAAGGGAGAAUUUUUAAACAACAAAAUUAGAGGAAGCCACUAUUUUGGACUGAGCUCAUGCACUAGGCCCCAACAAACGAAACCAAGCUAAAAUGGAGUCACUCAUCCUAAAUGUGACAUAAUCAAACCAAGGCUUUAAGAACACAGAUAGAUGCUAGAACAGACUACAUUUUGUUUUUCUCCUGUAAACAGGAUGUCUAUCAUAAGGAGGUACCGUCUACUCAGUCCUUAUUCUCUCCUUGCAAAACCCACUUUUCUACUGUUUCCCAGUGGGUUUCAAACCAUAUAAUACAUUUAUGAUAGUGAUAUUAACAUCAAUGACUAAGGUUUUGGUCAAUCUCUCAAAAUUGAGAAAAUGACCAAAAGAGGGAAAUGAUUGCUAAAGCAAACUAAAUAUGGCCUGGGAAGAACUCCAUAGUCUUAUAUUUGAGUUCUUGCAGAUGAACUGUAACUUAGCUUAAUAGUCAGACAAAACUGAAAACCUAACUUAAUAGUAUGCGUCUGUAACAAUGGCUGAGUGUUCGCUAAUCCCAGCGGCCAUACUUCAACCACUCAUAGACUGCUGAAAGUUCAAAGUGCAUUCAAAUAAGGCAAAAACGGAGCUUAACCAGCCUCACUGUUUCUGUAUCUCACUUCCGAUUCCUGUAUGUCACUUUACCUUUUUUGUCUAUAAAUGUGUUCUGACCACGAGGCACCCCAGGUCUCUGUGAAUCUGUUGUAAUUCUGGAGGUGCCUGAUUCGCCAAUCAUUCAUUGCUCAAUUAAACUCCUUUAAAUUUAACUCAGCUGGACUUUUCCUUUUAUCAGGUUGAAUUUUACAUAUCUACUUUAGAUUUUAAUUUCUUCUAUAAAUUAAAAUCUAAUCUUCCAUAAUUUCUGAUAAAAUGUUUGUUAAAUGAACUCAAUGCAUUGGACAAAAAUUUCCUGUUGCUUUUCUUUCAAAGUACAUAAAUUGAUGCUACUUUUUCCACCUUUCUCACAUUUUCUCUGUCCCAAUCUUACACUGGAGGUUCAAUAGUCUUCUUCAUGCCUCAAGUUCUUUCUCUUGUAAUAUGAAAGGCAUGUGGCCACUUUCCUUUUCUAAUUCUUUCAUAAAUCUAAACAUUUUCACUACCUAUUGGUUACUAUGCUCACCAUCUGGGUGAAGGCAUCAUUUGUACACAAAAUCUAUAAAAUAUACUAUUUACUUAUGUAAAAAACCUAAACAUGUACCUGCUGAACCUAAAAUAAAAGUUGAAAAAGAAAAAUAAAUAAAUAAUACCUUCCCAGAAUAUUGCCUAUAGGAACAAGUCUAAAUUCCUUAAUACAGAGUAAAAUGGUAAUAAAAUUCUUGCCCUGAUUUUCUUUCUUAGGCCUAUGUCAUUUCAACACUCCCCAUCACCAUUCUUCCCCAAUCUCUUCCAUUUUUUGAGUCUAAAAUCCUUAAUACAUUGAAUUUUUGUUCAAUAUUUGUUAUAUGCCCAAAACUAUGCUAAGCUGCUGGACUCGUGCUCUUUCACAAUUCCUUUUCUGUUCCUUUCAGACUAGUGAAAUGAUACUGAUUUUUAAUGAUCUGUCUUUUCUUGGAAAUUUCCUAUUUCCAAAUGUCAAAAAAAGAACUUAUAAUUUUUGUCUCUCCAUUUCCAUAACACUUAUCAAUGUCACUGACAUAGCCCUAAUAAUUAUGAGAUGUACAUUGUUAGUUACACACAUUUCUUGUUUUCCUACUUUUGAUGUCUUUAAGGUCAGAGAUUGUAUUUUACUCGUUUGUAUUCCUAUCAGAAAAAAAACUGUGGCUUACAUGUAAUAUACAUUCAGUAAUUGUUUGAAUGAAAAAUGUAUUAAAAUAGUAUGAGUAUCCAA